UUAAGCAUAUUAAUUAGGGGAGGAAAAGAAACUAACAAGGAUUUUCUUAGUAGCGGCGAGCGAAAAGAAAUCAGUUCAGCACUAAGUCACUUUGUCUAUAUGGCAAAUGUGAGAUGCAGUGUAUGGAGCGUCAAUAUUCUAGUAUGAGAAAUUAACGAUUUAAGUCCUUCUUAAAUGAGGCCAUUUACCCAUAGAGGGUGCCAGGCCCGUAUAACGUUAAUGAUUACUAGAUGAUGUUUCCAAAGAGUCGUGUUGCUUGAUAGUGCAGCACUAAGUGGGUGGUAAACUCCAUCUAAAACUAAAUAUAACCAUGAGACCGAUAGUAAACAAGUACCGUGAGGGAAAGUUGAAAAGAACUCUGAAUAGAGAGUUAAAUAGUACGUGAAACUGCUUAGAGGUUAAGCCCGAUGAACCUGAAUAUCCGUUAUGGAAAAUUCAUCAUUAAAGUUAUAAUAUUUAAACAAUAUUAUACAAAUAAUGUGCAUUUUUUCCAUAUAAGGACAUUGUAAUCUAUUAACAUAUUAAAUUUAUCAUAAAAUAUGGCUUAUAGUUUAUUCAAAUUAUUAUGCUUGCAUUUUAACAUAGAAUAAAUGUCAUUAAUUUGAUAAAGUGUUGAUAGACUAAUAAGAAUACAGUGCGUUAAUUUUUCGGAAUUAUAUAAUGGCAUAAUUAUCAUUGAUUUUUGUGUUUAUUAUAAGCACUUGUAUGAUUAACAAUGCGAAAGAUUCAGGAUACCUUCGGGACCCGUCUUGAAACACGGACCAAGGAGUCUAACAUAUGUGCAAGUUAUUGGGAUAUAAACCUAAUAGCGUAAUUAACUUGACUAAUAAUGGGAUUAGUUUUUUAACUAUUUUAUAGCUAAUUAACACAAUCCCGGGGCGUUCUAUAUAGUUAUGUAUAAUAAUAUUUAUAUUAUUUAUGCCUCUAACUGGAACGUACCUUGAGCAGAUAUGCUGUGACCCGAAAGAUGGUGAACUAUACUUGAUCAGGUUGAAGUCAGGGGAAACCCUGAUGGAAGACCGAAACAGUUCUGACGUGCAAAUCGAUUGUCAGAAUUGAGUAUAGGGGCGAAAGACCAAUCGAACCAUCUAGUAGCUGGUUCCUUCCGAAGUUUCCCUCAGGAUAGCUGGUGCAUUUUAAUGUUAUAUAAAAUAAUCUUAUCUGGUAAAGCGAAUGAUUAGAGGCCUUAGGGUCGAAACGAUCUUAACCUAUUCUCAAACUUUAAAUGGGUAAGAACCUUAACUUUCUUGAUAUGAAGUUUAAGGUUAUGAUAUAUUGUGCCCAGUGGGCCACUUUUGGUAAGCAGAACUGGCGCUGUGGGAUGAACCAAACGUAAUGUUACGGUGCCCAAAUUAACAACUCAUGCAGAAACCAUGAAAGGCGUUGGUUGCUUAAAACAGCAGGACGGUGAUCAUGGAAGUCGAAAUCCGCUAAGGAGUGUGUAACAACUCACCUGCCGAAGCAACUAGCCCUUAAAAUGGAUGGCGCUUAAGUUGUAUACCUAUACAUUACCGCUAAAGUAGAUGAUUUAUAUUACUUGUAAUAUAAAUUUUGAAACUUUAGUGAGUAGGAAGGUACAAUGGUAUGCGUAGAAGUGUUUGGCGUAAGCCUGCAUGGAGCUGCUAUUGGUACAGAUCUUGGUGGUAGUAGCAAAUAAUCGAAUGAGACCUUGGAGGACUGAAGUGGAGAAGGGUUUCGUGUGAACAGUGGUUGAUCACGAGUUAGUCGGUCCUAAGUUCAAGGCGAAAGCCGAAAAUUUUCAAGUAAAAAUAAAAUUUACUAUAUGUAAAAAUUAUAUACUUGAAUAAUUUUGAACGAAAGGGAAUACGGUUCCAAUUCCGUAACCUGUUGAGUAUCCGUUUGUUAUUAAAUAUGGGCCUCGUGCUCAUCCUGGCAACAGGAACGACCAUAAAGAAGCCGUCGAGAGAUAUCGGAAGAGUUUUCUUUUCUGUUUUAUAGUCGUACUACCAUGGAAGUCUUUCGCAGAGAGAUAUGGUAGAUGGGCUAGAAGAGCAUGACAUAUACUGUUGUGUCGAUAUUUUCUCCUCGGACCUUGAAAAUUUAUGGUGGGGAUACGCAAACUUCUCAACAGGCCGUACCAAUAUCCGCAGCUGGUCUCCAAGGUGAAGAGUCUCUAGUCGAUAGAAUAAUGUAGGUAAGGGAAGUCGGCAAAUUAGAUCCGUAACUUCGGGAUAAGGAUUGGCUCUGAAGAUUGAGAUAGUCGGGCUUGAUUGGGAAACAAUAAUAUGGUUUAUGUGCUCGUUCUGGGUAAAUAGAGUUUCGAUCAUUUAUGGUUGUAACUUGUUCCCCGGAUAGUUAGUUACGUAUCCAAUUGUGGAACU
rnacentral:rRNA from 1 species